rnacentral:misc_RNA from 1 species
GUUCGAGCGUCAGUACAACACUCAAGCCUAGCUUGGUCUUGGGCCUCGCCGGAAACGGCGGGCCUUAAAAUCAGUGGCGGCGCGUCGGGCCCUAAGCGUAGUAAUACUCCUCGCUACAGGGACCCGCUGGACGCUGGCCAGGAAACCCCCAACUUUAUAAGUUUGACCUCGGAUCAGGUAGGGAUACCCGCUGAACUUAG